rnacentral:rRNA from 1 species
CAUGCAAGUCGAACGGAAACCUUCGGGUUUUAGUGGCGAACGGGUGAGUAACACGUAAGCAACCUACCCUAAAGACGAGGAUAACCAUUGGAAACAGUGGCUAAGACUGGAUAGGAAGAUAAAAGGCAUCUUGUAUCUUUUAAAAGACCUAGUUAAUAGGUAUGCUUUAGGAGGGGCUUGCGCCAUAUUAGUUAGUUGGUAGGGUAAUGGCCUACCAAGACGAUGAUGUGUAGCUGGACUGAGAGGUUGAACAGCCACAUUGGGACUGAGACACGGCCCAAACUCCUACGGGAGGCAGCAGUAGGGAAUUUUCGGCAAUGGAGGAAACUCUGACCGAGCAACGCCGCGUGAAUGACGAAGUACUUCGGUAUGUAAAGUUCUUUUAUCGAGGAAGAAAAGCAAAUGGCGAACCAUUUGUUUGCCGGUACUUGAUGAAUAAGCCCCGGCUAAUUAUGUGCCAGCAGCCGCGGUAAGACAUAAGGGGCAAGUGUUAUCCGGAAUUAUUGGGCGUAAAGGGUGCGUAGGCGGUCUAGUAAGUCAGUGGUGUAAUGGCAACGCUUAACGUUGUCCGGCUAUUGAAACUGCUAAACUUGAGUUAGAUAGAGGCGAGUGGAAUUCCAUGUGUAGCGGUAAAAUGCGUAAAUAUAUGGAGGAACACCAGAGGCGUAGGCGGCUCGCUGGGUCUUAACUGACGCUGAGGCACGAAAGCGUGGGGAGCAAACAGGAUUAGAUACCCUGGUAGUCCACGCCGUAAACGAUGAGUACUAAGUGUCGGGUUAAACCGGUACUGAAGUUAACACAUUAAGUACUCCGCCUGAGUAGUACGUACGCAAGUAUGAAACUUAAAGGAAUUGACGGGACUCCGCACAAGCGGUGGAUCAUGUUGUUUAAUUCGAAGAUACCCGAAAAACCUUACCAGGUCUUGACAUGUUUUUGCAAAAUGAUAGUAAUAUCGUGGAGGUUACCAGAAACACAGGUGGUGCAUGGUUGUCGUCAGCUCGUGUCGUGAGAUGUUAGGUUAAGUCCUAAAACGAGCGAAACCCUUAUCGUUAGUUGCCAGCACGUUAUGGUGGGGACUUUAACGAGACUGCCAAUGAUAAAUUGGAGGAAGGUGAGGAUCACGUCAAAUCAGCAUGCCCCUUAUGACCUGGGCUACAAACGUGAUACAAUGGCUGUUACAAAGGGUAGCUGAAACGCAAGUUCUUGGCCAAUCCCCAAAAACAGUCCCAGUCCGGAUUGAAGUCUGCAACUCGACUUCAUGAAGUUGGAAUCGCUAGUAAUUGCGAAUCAGCAUGUCGCGGUGAAUACGUUCUCGGGGUUUGUACACACCGCCCGUCAAACCACGAAAGUUGGCAAUACCCCAAAACGGUAGCCUAACUCGUUUAUUCGAGAGGGCGCCGUCUAAGGUAGGGUCGAUGAUUGGGGUUAAG